GACAUACCAGAUGAUAUUUAUUUGUGACAUUUGAGACAUUUUCUGUUUGUGUGAAAUAAAAAAUAAAAGACUCUUAAUUUAUAGAAGUUGUAGACGCAUGUGGACCUCAAAUUUUUUAUCAUGUAUUAGUGUUGGUUUCAAAGAUAUAUUCCCGGUACUAUGCCUUAUUAUCUUAUUCCAGAUAUACAUCUUCGGAACAUAUCUUGAACCAGGCAGAAAAUAGAACCUAUGUGUUUUGUUUGGC
rnacentral:lncRNA from 1 species